AAUUUAUGGUGUGGACAAGCUCUUAAUAGCUCUUUGUAUCUUUCCCAAGCAUCGAAAAGGGAUUCACCAUCCUGUUGAGUAAAUCUUGUUAUCUAGUUUCGCAGGAC